AAUGGGCAGUUCUAAAGGGAUUCUUGGUGAGAAUCCUUAUGAAUAAAACCCAAAAAUAAAUAAAAAUGUGAUUAAUGGUAAGGUGCGUUCCUUACUUUAGAGUUUUUUGUGAUUUUUAGAGACGCAUACGUGGCAAGUUUUGAUGGCAAACAGAAAAAGUAUUAAAAAAAAUCUUUCCCGACCAUUCUGCGAUCUCUCUCUGUCUCUCUUCUCUUCUAAUCUCCGAAAGACGAAGAACAAAUCGGAAGAGAAAAGCCGGCGUCAUGAUCAUCAAAUCGUCAACAAAUCAAGCCACAAUCGCUUUCUGAAGGUUUUAAGGAACAUUGAUCUAGUCUAUGGAGGUGGAAGCAUAGGUUUGAUGGGUUUGGUUUCACAAGCUGUUCAUGAUGGUGGUCGCCAUGUUAUUUGAAUUAUUCCCAAGACACUCAUGCCUAGAGAGGUAUAAUUUGGUGUAAAGCAAUUUGUUUUUAGGUUUUUGAGAGGAAAGGCCGAGACUAACACUUAUCAAGAAAGGCUGAAGCUGAAGGGAUGGCUUAAGUAUGUUUUCCUUUUUCUUGAGUUUAUUUCUUACCUCUGGAAAGAAUACAUUUUUGAAUCUUUCUCUGUUGUGAAACAACAAGUUCUCAUAACUUUGAUGCUAAUAUUUGUUAUAAUUUUUUUUUUUUUAAGAAAUCUACUUAAGGACUCUACCAUUGGACAAAUUUUUUUUUAAGGAUUCAUCAAAAACUCUUAACUUCAAAAUUGUCAUAAUUUAUUAUUAAAAUAUGUUUAAGAAUCCUUUUAAGGAUUCAACCA